rnacentral:tmRNA from 1 species
UCUCUUUCAUAUCUCGGUACAAUUGCCUAUAUUGGUUUUGUUGGUUCUCCAACUAUGGCGAUAAACGGCACGUGGAAUAAACGUUGUGGACCCGGGGGCAGUACCCGGCAUCUCCAUAUAGUUUUGACCGGCCUG